rnacentral:rRNA from 1 species
UACGAAGGGGGCUAGCGUUGCUCGGAAUCACUGGGCGUAAAGCGCACGUAGGCGGAUUGUUAAGUCAGGGGUGAAAUCCUGGAGCUCAACUCCAGAACUGCCUUUGAUACUGGCGAUCUCGAGUCCGGGAGAGGUGAGUGGAACUGCGAGUGUAGAGGUGAAAUUCGUAGAUAUUCGCAAGAACACCAGUGGCGAAGGCGGCUCACUGGCCCGGUACUGACGCUGAGGUGCGAAAGCGUGGGGGGCAAACAGG